GUAAUGGUGUCUUUGGACACCACCUUUUGUCUUAUAAAAUUAUUU
rfam:Picea glauca, whole genome shotgun sequence.